rnacentral:rRNA from 1 species
UGCAACAGCCAUAUCACCCUGCAGCCCACCGGUUACUCACUGAAUCUGAAUCUAAGCAGGGCUGAGCCUUGUCAAUACCUGGAUGAGAGACCACAUGAGAAAGCUACAGUAGGUUGCUGUCAGAA